rnacentral:rRNA from 1 species
UACGGAGGGAGCUAGCGUUGUUCGGAAUUACUGGGCGUAAAGCGCGCGUAGGCGGCUUUGUAAGUUAGAGGUGAAAGCCCGGAGCUCAACUCCGGAACUGCCUUUAAAACUGCAUCGCUUGAAUCCAGGAGAGGUGAGUGGAAGUUCCGAGUGUAGAGGUGAAAUUCGUAGAUAUUCGGAAGAACACCAGUGGCGAAGGCGGCUCACUGGAGCUGGUAUUGACGCUGAGGUGCGAAAGCGUGGGGAGCAACAGG